UGAUUCCAUGUCUCACAUCCAGGACA
rnacentral:piRNA from 1 species